rnacentral:rRNA from 1 species
GAUUAAGUCAGAUAGCAUGCAUGUCUCAGUGCAGCCGUAUUAAGGCGAUACCGCGAAUGGCUCAAUAUAUCAGUUUUGGUUCCUUAGAUCUUACUCAGUUACUUGGAUAACUGUGGUAAUUCUAGAGCUAAUACAUGCAAUCAGAACUCUGACCAGUGAUGGGAUGAGUGCUUUUAUUAGAUCAAAACCAAUCGACGGAGGGCCUCGCGUCCGAAGUCGUUAAUUUUGAUGAAUCUGGAUAACUUUUGCAGAUCGCAUGGUCCAGUACCGGCGACGCAUCUUUCAAAUGUCUGCCUUAUCAACUUUCGAUGGUAGUUUCUGCGACUACCAUGGUUGUCACGGGUAACGGGGAAUCAGGGUUCGAUUCCGGAGAGGGAGCCUGAGAAACGGCUACCACAUCCAAGGAAGGCAGCAGGCGCGCAAAUUACCCACUCCCGGCACGGGGAGGUAGUGACGAAAAAUAACGAUACGGGACUCUUACGAGGCCUCGUAAUCGGAAUGAGUACACUUUAAAUAUUUUAACGAGGAACAAUUGGAGGGAAAU